UCCUCUCACGCCAGGGCCCGAACCACGCCAGCACACCAGAGUUGGACACAUCCGACUACUGCCACCACUUGUCGUCCUCUCAGUCUGAUCCCCUUUUUGCUUUCUCUCCCGUGACACUACUGCCACCAGCCCACCACCUCUCGUCCUCUGAGUCUGAUCCCCUUUUUUAUUUCUCUCCCGGGACACUACUGCCACCACCUCUCCUCAAUUCCAGCCAAGUGAGUAUCAAUCGAUGCAGGGGAGCACACUGCAAUGCUAUUCAUGGCAUGCACCGCCGAUUCUUCACACCACCGGCAUGUCCCGCCGAUGCCCGAUGCCCAUCUGACUUUGCUCAUGCUCGGUCGAGCCACGAAGCACCAGAAGAUGAGGAUUACCCGCCUGCAGAAAUGAAUCUCCAAAACUCGAGCUGGAUGUGCCACCACGCCAUUCUUGAGGACAGUAGCUGCAACCCUGCCCGUCCAGUUGCUGCUCAAAAAAGGAAUUGAUGCCGAGUUUCUUCUAUAUUCUCUGUGUGAUUUGUUCACUCUCCUGAGCUGCUGAGACCUGAAAAACAAUCACUUCAACAUGAUCAUGCAGCUAGCAGCGCAAAGGAAUCAAUGUAAAGAAUCACAUCUGCUCUGUUGAGUGCCAGCUGGUGAGGCGGUGGCUGCAGGAACACCAAUCAAAAGCAGAAGAAGAGAAGCCCCGCCGCUAGAAAAGAAAAACAAUCGGCGGGCACCAGGACACAUGAGAGAAGCUCCACCUGAAAAUGGUAAUUCAUGACAAAGUUCAAGUGUACACCAACAAUUUCCCAUUAACACACAUACAGGUACUUGUAUUUUCAGUCUUAAGAUGGUACUACUUCAUUACUUAGGUAGUUAGCAUAAUGCCUGAUC